UCAAAAAUAAAUAAACAUUAAAAAAUAAUAAUAAUAAAAUACAAAAUAAAAAGUGCUCAGAGAUUCAAUGAGAUUUUGACCUUCACGAAAGCAUGGGCCUUCUGCUAUCCCUUUGGCCAGAAAUCCAGGUAAGAGGAUCUUGCCAUUCUGCAUACCUUUCCUCUCCCUUAGAGGCCUGAGGUUUUUGGGUCCUCCUACCAUUUGACCAGCCAGCCUCCUCAAAUUCCUUUCAUUAGGGCCACACCUUCCCUGGCAAACUAACAGCCCAAAUACUUGCAGAUUACACUCUAUAUACAACCAUAUUUUUGCCAAAUACCUGACUGCUCUUUUCCACUAAAGACAAAGGUAUAAUGAUUUACAGAAGCAUCCGGUGUUUUUCCAGUCUCCCAGCUCAUCAGAAGAGAAACUCUGAAGUAUGAGGGCUCACAUUCUUAUUUCAGUCUUUCAUAGUAAGAGAGAAACCAAACUGUACAUGAGGGAGAUGUAUUAUAGUUAUUAUGCAAGUGUGUUACUUCCCUUUUAGAGUAGGAUACUACCUGUAUCCUAAAUGAGUGUCUUACCAAAAACAAGUACCACAAAAACACUUGUGGAAAAAUGAAAUGGCCCUUAGUGUAAGCAAAUUUGUUGCCUUUUAACAACAAAUUUUGCUAUUUGUUUCUUCUUGUUUGUCUUAUGUGUAUUGUUUCCCUCCACCUGUAAUACUUGGAUAGUACAUACUCAUUCACACACUUGAAAAUAUUUAUUGAGCAUGUAGUAUAUGCCAGGUACUGUGCCACAUUCUGGAGACACAGCAGUGAACACACUAGACAUGAUUCCUGCCUUUUGGGGAACAGAGUGUAAUUAUGUCAAUAAGCCUAACUCCAGUUCAAGUGUCCUAAGUAUCACCUUAUCUGGGCAGCCUCUAUGAUCUCAUCUAGUUGGAUAAGGCAUCCAUAUUCUCUGGGCCUCUGGUAUCUUGUCCAUAAUUCACAUUGGAGAAUUCCCCAAACUAAGAUCCCUGAAGGGCCACAUCUUCAACUGGAGAACAAGAAAAAAGAACUUGACCUACCAAAGGAAAGGAGCACCUUGGAAAGCAGAGAAGACUAUGGAAACACCCCUCCCUCAUUCCCACGUAGUCGUGCUAUCUUCAGAAGGGGUUACUUGGAUCCACUGGUCUUUCAGUUCAAGCCUCAAACCAUGAAGAAGUUUUGCUACUUAAAUGCAAGUUUCUCCUGCCCAUCUAGACCUAAGACAUGCUUGGCUCUUCUUAACUCUGAUAUUGGAUCUAGACAAGUAAUCAACUCACAGAGUGGCUGAGAGAUUCACAGCAGCACCCUUUUUUUUUUAAAUUGUUUUCAAAUGUAAAAAUAAUAUGUAAUAUUGGGAAUAUUCAUAACAUUUAGCAGAAUAAAGAAAAGGGGCACCUGGGUGGCUCAGUCAGUUAAGCAUCUGACUUCAGCUCAGGUCAUGA